AGGUGGAGGAUAGAAUUGAGCAAGAAUGCUAUAAGGUUGGUCAUGAUGUUACUUUGAUUUGCAUCUUUGAGUCACUUAGCCAAAUAUAUCCUACCUUGCCAAAGAGCCUACAUUACAACCCUCAAUAAAGACCUUUUUGAUCUUGGUUAUAGGAGCACACAUUUAGUGGUGGAGAGGUGAGACGAUUGACAAGCUUAUGGAUGAGUACAUGUUUAGCUUGAACUG
rnacentral:lncRNA from 1 species